AAAUUAGUUUAAUUAAAAUGUAAAUCUGUCAGAUUUAUGAAACUUUUGAGUAUUUUUCU
rnacentral:tRNA from 1 species